rnacentral:rRNA from 1 species
GAUUAUGGCUCAGGAUGAACGCUGGCGGCGUGCUUAACACAUGCAAGUCGAGCGAAGCAUUAAAACAGAUUCUUCGGAUUGAAGUUUGAUGACUGAGCGGCGGACGGGUGAGUAACGCGUGGGUGACCUGCCUCAUACAGGGGGAUAACAGACAGAAAUGUCUGCUAAUACCGCAUAAGCGCACAGUGCUGCAUGGCACCGUGUGAAAAACUCCGGUGGUAUGAGAUGGACCCGCGUCUGAUUAGCUAGUUGGUAAGGUAACGGCUUACCAAGGCGACGAUCAGUAGCCGGCCUGAGAGGGUGAACGGCCACAUUGGGACUGAGACACGGCCCAAACUCCUACGGGAGGCAGCAGUGGGGAAUAUUGCACAAUGGGGGAAACCCUGAAUGCAGCGACGCCGCGUGAAGGAAGAAGUAUUUCGGUAUGUAAACUUCUAUCAGCAGGGAAGAAAAUGACGGUACCUGACUAAGAAGCCCCGGCUAACUACGUGCCAGCCGCCGC